GACGAACGCUGGCGGCGUGCUUAACACAUGCAAGUCGAACGGAAAGGCCCUGCUUUUGUGGGGUGCCCGAGUGGCGAACGGGUGAGUAACACGUGAGUAACCUGCCCUUGACUUUGGGAUAACUUCAGGAAACUGGGGCUAAUACCGGAUAGGAGCUCCUGCUGCAUGGUGGGGGUUGGAAAGUUUCGGCGGUUGGGGAUGGACUCGCGGCUUAUCAGCUUGUUGGUGGGGUAGUGGCUUACCAAGGCUUUGACGGGUAGCCGGCCUGAGAGGGUGACCGGCCACAUUGGGACUGAGAUACGGCCCAGACUCCUACGGGAGGCAGCAGUGGGGAAUAUUGCACAAUGGGCGGAAGCCUAAUGCAGCAACGCCGCGUGCGGGAUGACGGCCUUCGGGUUGUAAACCGCUUUCGCCUGUGACGAAGCGUGAGUGACGGUAAUGGGUAAAGAAGCACCGGCUAACUACGUG
rnacentral:rRNA from 1 species